UGGGGAAUAUUGCACAAUGGGCGCAAGCCUGAUGCAGCCAUGCCGCGUGUAUGAAGAAGGCCUUCGGGUUGUAAAGUACUUUCAGCGGGGAGGAAGGCGAUAAGGUUAAUAACCUUGUCGAUUGACGUUACCCGCAGAAGAAGCACCGGCUAACUCAGUGCCAGCAGCCGCGGUAAUACGGAGGGUGCAAGCGUUAAUCGGAAUUACUGGGCGUAAAGCGCACGCAGGCGGUCUGUCAAGUCGGAUGUGAAAUCCCCGGGCUCAACCUGGGAACUGCAUUCGAAACUGGCAGGCUAGAGUCUUGUAGAGGGGGGUAGAAUUCCAGGUGUAGCGGUGAAAUGCGUAGAGAUCUGGAGGAAUACCGGUGGCGAAGGCGGCCCCCUGGACAAAGACUGACGCUCAGGUGCGAAAGCGUGGGGAGCAAACA
rnacentral:rRNA from 1 species